UGUUUGUCAUUAAUUUUGGUAGAAUUUGCAUGAAUUUAACAGCUUAUACGAGGCAUAAUUUGUGACAAAUUAGCAGAAAGAAGUUGUCUUAAAUUAUUUUUAUUAGUAAUUGUUGAUAGAUUUAAUAUUUACAAUGUUUAGAACAUUUUAGUAAAUUUAUCAAUUACAGUAUAGUACGAUACAGUCAAACCAAACAAUAAAUUUUUUAUUAAACAUGAUCCAAACAGAGUGUUAGUAUGCAGAGUCAAGAAGUCAAGUCUUUGUACUUGUGUCAAUGUGAAAACUUCAUUUUUUUUCUUCUUGGCCUUACCUUUCUUUUUCCCAAUAAUUCCGACCCCUCUUAUACGUUUGGUUCCACAGUCUUUCUUUUUGACAAAUAUGUCCAAUAAAUUUGUCUCCCUCUCUGAUAAUAGAAGUCAUGGGACUUUGAUCUUAUAAGAUAAGUCUUGUGAGCUAGCUACAGUUAUAAUUCACAAAGCUUCAGCAAGCUUUCCUCUUCUUGUAGUAGGAUUCAAAGUAUGGCUUGGGCUUCUUCUUUUGUUUGCUUUUUUCUAUCUCUUCUUCUGAUCUUAGUUCAGACAAAGGGAAAAAAUGAUUCAACUUGUCCCAAGUCCUUUUCAUGUGGAAAUCUUACUAGUCUGAGCUUUCCUAUCUCUCUAUCCACACAACCUGAAUGUGGAAUAAUGCCCAUUUCUGGUUGUGACGCUAAACCAAGAAUCCAAUUGCUUCCUGGAGGAGAUUCAUACUAUGCAUUCGGCAAUCCGUAUAACUAUACAGUUGGUCUAAUUGACCUGAAGCUUCAAACAAUAUUGAGGGAAAACAAGUGCCAGGCUUUUAACAAAAAUUUCUCCCUAAAUCUAAUCUCAAAUCUAAGCUCUCCUUCUAUUUCUUUCGAACUCAUCACAUUGAAUAUUGGCAACUUCUUCAAAUGCAACAGUACCAGUAGUACCCAGAAGAAGAUCAACCAUUUUGCUGGUUAUAAAACGUACAAUGACUGUAAAGGCUUUAGCAUAUACUACAAGCUUCCCGGAGAUUAUGAUAAAGACAAUCGAGCAGGCACUCUUCCUGCCAACUGUUCACUUAUCAGAUUGCCAGUUAACUGGAGGUCAUAUAAUGGUGGUUUGUUCGACUUUUUAAGUCCCGAUUUUUACUUACAAUGGAAACUCUCUGAUGACUGUAACAAAUGUCACUAUGGCGGAGGUCAAUGCCAGACUGAUAAAACCAACAAAAUAUUUCGUUGUACACAUCCAAAUAAUCCACAUGCUCAAGGUCAUCAAAAAAUAACUCCACAUGCUCAAGGUCAUCAAAAAAAUACUCCACAUGCUCAAGAUGCAAAAACGACUAGAAGAAAGUUCGGACCGACUCUGGGAGCAGUUUUUGGUGGACUAGGAUUGGUGAUGAUUUGUUUAGUUGUCUGCUUUAUUUGGUGUUACAAGAAGAGGAAAUUUAGUCCAUCCCGCUUCCUCUCAACAAAGAAAUUCUCAGACAUUUUUAAACAUGAUGUUGAGGGAGGCAGUAUAUACUUUGGUGUCCCAGUCUUCUCUUAUUCAGAACUUGAAGAAGCCACAAAUGAUUUCAAUUUUUCUAGAGUCCUUGGAGAUGGAGGUUUUGGAACUGUUUACUAUGGAAAACUUAAGGAUGGACGAGAGGUCGCUGUAAAGCGCCUCUACGAGCACAACUGCAAACGAAUGCAACAGUUUGUAAAUGAAAUUGAGAUCAUUACUAUGCUAAGGCACAACAAUCUUGUCACCCUCUAUGGAUGCACUUCAUGGAGAAGCCGUGAACUACUCCUUGUCUAUGAAUACAUUCCUAAUGGAACUCUUGCUGAUCACCUCCAUGGUGACAAAGCGAAGGACCGAUCACUCGCGUGGCCAAUCCGCAUGAACAUUGCCAUAGAAACUGCUGGUGCAUUGGCUUACCUUCAUGCAUCUGACGUAAUACAUUGCGAUGUGAAGAGUAAUAACAUACUCCUUGAUCAUGGCUUUAGUGUUAAAGUUGCAGAUUUUGGGAUUUCAAGGCUCUUCCCAAAUGAUGUCUCACACAUUUCAACCGCACCCCGGGGAACCCCUGGCUAUAUUGAUCCAAAGUAUCAUGAAUGUUACCAGCUGACGAGUAAAAGUGAUGUCUAUAGCUUCGGGGUGGUCCUUGUUGAACUCAUUUCAUCAAUGCCAGCUGUGGAUAUGAAUAGGCAUAUCCAAGAGAUCAAUUUGGCUAACUUUGCAAUAAACAAGAUCGUAAAAUGUGCAUUUCACGAGUUGAUCGAUCCAUCUUUGGGGUUUGAUUCAGAUACCAAGAUUUGGGAAAUGACUACUUCAGUGGCAGAGCUAGCUUUUCUGUGCUUGCAGACAGAUAGGGACAUGAGGCCUACUAUGGUUGAAGUUUUGGAUACUCUAAAGGAGAUUCAGACUAGUGAAUUUGACAAUGAGAAGAGAGCUGAGUCUAAUCUCAAUGGCAAUGAAGCUAAAAUAGUAGCAGCUCCUCCUUUCCCUGAAUCAGAAGAUAUUUUAUUGUUGAAGCAAGUUAAAUCACUACCUUCACCAAAUUCUGUGACUGAUAAAUGGAUUACUUGCUCUAGUAUAAUUACUACAAAGUAGUUCUAUACCUCCUUCCUUUUAUUAUUGAUGUAGAUUCUGAGAAACUAAGAAUGUACUGCUGUGAGCAGUUUCUCGAGCUACAUCUCUAUGAGUGAAAGUGAUUCAAUUUUAAUUUCAUUAUACAAGAGCUGUUAUAUACACUGGCAGGUUGGAAAAUGUAUAGGUUAAUGUCUUACCGGGAAAAAAUUUGUAUCUUUUACAAUAUGAGAUACUAUUUGACAGAUGGAGGAGUGUCUCAGCUUGUAUUUCCUGGACAGUGUGGAGGAAGAUAAACCAAAGAUGCUUUGAAGACAAUGCAGCUCCGCCCAGAAAAUGAUGAUGAAGUGCCUAUUUUGUUUUAUUUUUGGUGGAAACAAGAAUAUAUGGAAGAUCUUGAGUCUUUUGUAGAUGUUAUAGGAUCCUUAUGAAUCUAAGGAAUAUGAGAUCUUUCUGUAGUCCUCUUUGUAAGUAAGUUUUGACUGCAUUAACUCUGGUGCAGUUAUUGAUAUAUACAACAGUUGUUACUUUCUUAGAAAAAAAUAAAAAAUGAGGUACUAUUUGAGAACUUGUGAAA